GUGGGGAAUCUUAGACAAUGGGGGAAACCCUGAUCUAGCCAUGCCGCGUGAUCGAUGAAGGCCUUAGGGUUGUAAAGAUCUUUCAGAUGGGAAGAUAAUGACGGUACCAUCAGAAGAAGCCCCGGCUACCUCCGUGCCAGCAGCCGCGGUAAUACGGAGGGGGCUAGCGUUAUUCGGAAUUACUGGGCGUAAAGCGCACGUAGGCGGAUCAGAAAGUCAGAGGUGAAAUCCCAGGGCUCAACCUUGGAACUGCCUUUGAAACUCCCAGUCUUGAGGUCGAGAGAGGUGAGUGGAAUUCCGAGUGUAGAGGUGAAAUUCGUAGAUAUUCGGAGGAACACCAGUGGCGAAGGCGGCUCACUGGCUCGAUACUGACGCUGAGGUGCGAAAGCGUGGGGAGCAAACAGGAUUAGAUACCCCGGUAGUCC
rnacentral:rRNA from 1 species